AUUGAACGCUGGCGGCAUGCCUUACACAUGCAAGUCGAACGGCAGCACGGGUGCUUGCACCUGGUGGCGAGUGGCGAACGGGUGAGUAAUACAUCGGAACAUGUCCUGUAGUGGGGGAUAGCCCGGCGAAAGCCGGAUUAAUACCGCAUACGAUCUACGGAUGACAGCGGGGGACCUUCGGGCCUCGCGCUAUAGGGUUGGCCGAUGGCUGAUUAGCUAGUUGGUGGGGUAAAGGCCUACCAAGGCGACGAUCAGUAGCUGGUCUGAGAGGCCGACCAGCCACACUGGGACUGAGACACGGCCCAGACUCCUACGGGAGGCAGCAGUGGGGAAUUUUCGACAAUGGGCGAAAGCCUGAUGCAGCAAUGCCGCGUGUGUGAAGAAGGCCUUCGGGUUGUAAAGCACUUUUGUCCGGAAAGAAAUCCUUGGCCCUAAUACGGUCGGGGGAUGACGGUACCGGAAGAAUAAGCACCGGCUAACUACGUG
rnacentral:rRNA from 1 species